GCGUGCGGUUGUCCGCCACGCGGGAGGAUAUCCUGUCAAAGACGUCGUUGGCGACCUUGUCGAGGUAGUCGAGGGCGUCAACGAUUUGCCGUAUGGUUUCCUCUCGCCGCAGGUCGGGCUGGACGACGGGAAUGUUGUACACCUGGCUCCGCCCUUCCAUGGUCUCUGAUGUGUGCUGCGUCUAUUCUAUCGGAAUCGUGGCUAGUUCUUGACGUUAUAUCUGCCGCAGUUUUUACAGAAUCGCCCAAAGUUGGAGAGCAAAGUUGCUGGUUUCCGUGUCGUCUGCGGCCAUGUUGGUUCUCAUCAUAUGAUGGGGUCACGUGAGGUGAGGAUAGGCUCUAAAGCAGACUCUCU